rnacentral:lncRNA from 1 species
CCCACAUUACCCUUUUUGCUCAACGCCGACACCCACUUCCCUCUCCAUUGAACUGACUUCACACUUCCCUCUCCCUACUUAUAACCUCCACCAAACUAAAUCUCCUCUACUCCAAGCAUGGCUGAUCCAAAAACAUAUGGUUGCGACUUGCUGGCGAGGUAGAAGAAGAAACACAAUUGCCUCCAGCAGAAGCUAAACCACAGGUCACACAAGAGGAAUUAACCCAAGUUAGUAGUUCAAGCUGUGAAGGUCACCCCACACCCCAAGACUAGAUGAUAUUUCUCAGCGCAUCCCACCUCCAACUUAAAUAACUAGGAGAGGAAAUCUAUCCCUUCAUUAUUUAUUUUAUUUCAUUACUCAUUCU